GGCUCAGGAUGAACGCUAGCUACAGGCUUAACACAUGCAAGUCGAGGGGCAGCAUGGACAUAGCUUGCUAUGUUUGAUGGCGACCGGCGCACGGGUGCGUAACACGUAUCCAAUCUGCCCGUUACUCGGGGAUAGCCUUCUGAAAGGAAGAUUAAUACCCGAUGGCAUGUAUUUCCGGCAUCGGAGAUACAUUAAAGAUUUAUCGGUAACGGAUGAGGAUGCGUACGAUUAGCUUGUUGGCGGGGUAACGGCCCACCAAGGCGACGAUCGUUAGGGGUUCUGAGAGGAAGGUCCCCCACACUGGAACUGAGACACGGUCCAGACUCCUACGGGAGGCAGCAGUGAGGAAUAUUGGUCAAUGGAGGCAACUCUGAACCAGCCAAGUAGCGUGCAGGAUGACGGCCCUCUGGGUUGUAAACUGCUUUUAGUUGGGAAUAAAAAGAGGGACGUGUCCCUAAUUGUAUGUACCAUCAGAAAAAGGACCGGCUAAUUCCGUG
rnacentral:rRNA from 1 species